rnacentral:lncRNA from 1 species
GUUUUCUGAAUCCACCGCUGGCCUGCUAGGGAAUUUUUCAAGGCCAUCAGUUUGGGGCCUUAUGGUCCAGCAGUGGAGAAGAGGAAGGACUUAGAAACUGUGGCCUGCAGGGGCCUAAGAACCAUAUCUUACGCCACGAUCAGGCCCCUCUGGCUCUUCUCUCAGGAAGGUAACCGCUCAGAAGUCACCAUCAAUCUCCCCACUCCUCACUUGCCCCUGCUUACCCUUUCAGCCAGUGCUCCGGACAGGCUGCCACAUUGACUAGGCACAUGCGUUAUUCAUUUAUCCAUUCAUUCAGUGAGUAUGGAGAGUUAUUUAAUCAUCACCAAUUAUAAUAGCAGCUCUCAUUUUUUGAGCACUUAACUCUCUGUUCGGGUCUGUACACUUUACCUGUCCUGUUUCACUCAGUCCUUACAAGUGCCCACCUCUAUUUUAUAGAUGUGGAAGCUGAGACUUAAAGAAGCUAUGAAACUUGAUCAGGUCAUGCAGCGCCAGAGGACCCAAGGUGGGAUCUCAACCCAGACUGUUUGGCUCCAAAGCUGAACUGCUACAUUACGUUGCUUCAGCAAACAGUCAUUCAGGUAACUUGGUGAGGACGUGCUCAGUUCAAGUAACUAUGCCACAGUCUGGGGAGAGAAAUGAAUAAGGUAUAUUCCUGUACACAAGCCCACUGGGGAAACCUUGAUGAAACCCUUCUACUCGAAAACCUUUCCUCUGCUUGCAACUAGAUGUUUGGAAACAUUGUUUUGUUGUCAAAUUUCACAAAAUAUCUUGUGUUGGAGGAGUCUGUUAGACUUCUCUAAUUUCACCCUUCAGGUGAUGCAGAAGUCUCUACUGCCGACUACCUGCCCUCACACACACAUACACAGAAGGUGGAGCACAUCUAGCUUGGAUUUUAGAGCCAGUCUACGUGAGUCUGUAUCCUGGCUCAACCAUUCACUACUUGUGUGACCUUGGGCAAGUCCUUUGAGCUCUCUGAGUCUCAGUUUCUUCAUCUGUAAAAUAGGCAUAAUUUCACCGUUGUGAGGUUUUUGCAAAUAAGGUAACACACUGCAAAACAUUCAGCACCACUCUGGUGUAUAGUUAAGACCUGAUAAGUGUCAGCCAUUGUCUUUUAUCAUUAGGGAUGGGCAUCUCUUGCCACCCCAGUGAAACAGUUCCUUGUCCUGUCUCUUUCUUUGCUUCUGCCUCCCGGGGCACUCAGCCCAAGGCAAAUGUGCCUGAAGAUGGGGGUUAGUCAUCAGGUUCCCCUGCCUCAGAGGAUGAGAGCAUGACUGCUGCUCUCUGCCCAGUCUCCUAAGAAAUCUGAUUCAUGCCUUGCCAGUACUCUAUGAAUAUGCAUACUUCACCUGCAGCCCUGUCUCCUUUCACAAUGAGCUCAGUCAUUUGUACCUCCUGGGUCAUGUGCAGACAUCCUCAGUAUUACCCACUGAUGGGUGUUGGAGAAACUGCUAAGAAGAUGAGUCUUGAUAGGCAGGUGACAGUGACUUGACUCUCUAGUCCAUGGCUUUGCCUGUUUCGCCAUAUUUCAAAACUGCCAGGGGCUUCUGAAUUGACUGAUGACCCAACAUAGGGUCACAGUAUUUCAUUUGGCUGCUCUUAGACUGAAGUGACAACUUGGGAUAGCCCCAUCUGAAUGGGACCAGUUUGGGAGCCUUUUGUUUCACCCUCUUUCUCUCUCCAGUCUUUGUGGGUUCCCUGAAACGUGUGAGGUGGUUUGGGGAUGUUGAAAGUUAAGCCCCUCAAAGAGAAGACUUAUGCCUUAGAUUAGUGUUAGUGAUUACAAGCUCCGGGUUUUGAGACUGAUCUGGGUUUGAAACCUGGCUCAGCUUUUUGUUAGCUGUGACCCUAAGCUUCAUAACUUGUUUCUCUGAGUCUGUUUCCUUAUCUAUAAAUGGGAUUAAUAAUAGUAUUUAUUUCAUAGGAUGGUCGUAAGGAUUAAAUGCAUGUAAAGCACUUAAUAUAGUGCCUGGCACAAAGUAAGUGCCCCAUAGCUGUUACCAAUAUUAGGCAGCAGGAGAGACAGCACAGGACCAAGGGGCAAGAGAUCAAGGUUUGAGUUCCAGCUCUGCUGCUUGCUGGCUGUGUGACCUCAGGCAAGUCAUCUUCCUUCCCUGAGCCAGUUUCUCCAACUGUGAAAUGAAUGGUUUGAGUUUGAAGGUCACUCAGGUUCUUUCCAACUGUCUGAGAUCUGUGACUUUGAAGGUGACAAAAAAAGAAAACACAGGAAAAAAUAAUUAGUAGCAGAUGCCUUUAUCAGCCAAGAUAACAUUUCAUAAACCCCCGGGCCUCGACACCAUCUUCAAAAGCCACCCCAUCCCGCAGCUUCUAGGCAGAACCUUCUUGACCAGAUAGGGUGAAUGAACUGUUUGCAAGACUUUCUGGAGCCACAAGGAGGCCUCAGGGAAGGUGUAAGGCUAAAAAGCGAAGCCUGCAUCACAAAGGGAGCAGGCCUGAGAAAACCAGCUAACCCCAAACAUCAGACCUGGGGGAUUCUGCCUUUUGGUGCCUUGGGCGAGAAUCAUCCUCCACUUGACCAGAAUGGAUUAGUUUAUGGUAAGGGAGGGAUGUUGUCUCUAGAGCCUGGGGAUGUCCUGAUCUGUUGUAAAACAGGCCCCACCUGGGAAAUAGAACAUUUUCUUUUUUGGGGCCUAGUGACCUCUGACACCCCCACCCCCUUCUUCCUGGCCCACUGUGCAGUCUGAGUCACACCCAGCAGGAGACCAAUGCUGGGAAUGGAGGAGGCAUUCAGCAUCCCCCUUACCCACAAGAGUCUCCACCGAGUUAUUCUUAAGCCCUGCUUGAACCCUGAGGGGGAUGACAUGGGCAGGAUUUACAGAAAAUAAAAAAACAAUCAGUUUCAACUCGUUCUACCAGUUUUUGCCCCUUACAGUACAAAGUCUCUUAACCAAUCUUAAUGUAACAAAUUUCCCUUUACAGAGACAAUGGGCUUUAGAGGAGUUUAGUGAUGUUACUAACAAACAUAAGUACCUUGUACUAACCUCCUGGUGCCCAAGUGUUUGAGGUGAGAAAAACUGAAACAUGAAAAGCCCAGAGAGGUAAAGUGACUGGCUCAAGCAAAUACAGGCUCCAGCUGCAGCCACUUUGAAGAUAAAGUUUCCUCCAUAGAAAUUCUGCAAUACAGAUGUCCUUCCGCGGUCCCAGUUCAGUCCUGCACCAGUUCCUUUUCCCACUGGGAAAUUUCUUUCCUCUUCCUACUUCCAUGCAACUGCGAGGCAAGGCUCAAGCCCACUUCCUUCUCCUUUUCCUGUGCCUCCCUGUGGAGGGAGCUCCCUCUUCUUCACAGCUCCAGGCUCUUCCCUACUCUGGCCCAACCUUAUGGGCAUUUUGCUCCAUAACUCUCCUCGAUCUGAACUGCUUCUGAUUUCUCUCAAGUCAUGUCGGGGAAUCUCACAAAUGCAUUCUGAGAAAUACAAGAAUGCCUGAGAUGUUCCCGGCAGAAAAGAUUCCAGGAUCAAAACAUUUGGGAAAAGCUUCACAUCUCUCCUUAGAAAUGAACAAGGCAUAGUCAUCAAGCAUCUGAAAAGUCCUGCAGUCAGGAAACCUACCUUGUUUGUUUUUUAACCCAGUAUUUCUCAAACUAAGAUGGCCAUGAUUUCAUCUCCUCCAUCCCCACUGACUCCUAUAACAACCUGUAGAACCAGUGAUCCACUGUGGAACACACUUUGGGAAACACUGUCCCCAGCCCUCCAAGAAGGCAUAGAGUUGACCUUGCCUUCAUUGAUUUAAACCCUUCCUGUUUCUCUGGGCUAUUUACUUAUUAUCUCACAUACAAAAUAAUCUAAGGUGAUGUCUGCCCAAUUGGGUUUUUAGGAAAGACAUACCCAAUGGGAAUGAAGAUUUUCUUAGCAGGAUUUGAUGAGCCCAUUACUAGAAAAAAAAUCAAGGAUUUCCCAGACUUUCAGGGUGAGGAGAGAAUUUGAUACAAGCAGCAGAGGCUGGGCGUAGUGACCCAUGCCUAGCACUUUGGUAGGCCAAGGAGGGAGGAUUGCUUGAACCCAGGAAUCCAAGACCAGCCUGGGCAACAUAGUAAGAUCCCAUCUCAAUUUUUUAAAGAAGGAUUUAUCAAACUUGUUUCCUAGUCAACGGAUAAAGCCAGAGAGGUAAUGGCCAGAAACCCAAAAUCUAGAGAGUACCAGAUAAAUACUUUUUGGGUGAAUGAAUGAAUGAGCAGGCUAUUGAUCACAAAGUUGGCAGACAUUGUGAAUGAAUGGAUGAAUUAAUAAACAAUCAAAUAACUGGUCUCCAGGCCUCCAGACUUUCUGAACUUCAUUGUAUCUACCUGCUGUGGCCACAUAUAUAUCUCCUCAAAACCCAGAUCUCAUCAGUCCACUCUUCUGUUCCCUGGCUGGCUCCCUGUUGCCUUCAGGAUAAAGUCUACAUGCCUUUGUCCUGGCAUUGAAAACUCUGCAAAACAAAGCUCCAACCUAGCUUUCCAUCCUUCUUUCUCUUCCCCAUUGGGUACCCCUUACUCUAGUCACACCAGUCCCCAAUUCACUUUAUCCGUCUCCUUUUCUUUCUCAAGCUAUUCUCUAUACCUCACCUUUUCUCCCCUGCCUCCAUUGUUGCUUAUUCAACCCUAGCAGUGCUUUCAGGCUCAGCUCAAACCUUAUCACCCAUGUUAAAUGAAAGAAGCCAGACACAAGAAGGGGACAUUCUGAAUGAUUCCAUUUAUAUGAAGGUUAAGAACAGGCAAAACUAUUGUGGGGAAAAAACAGAACUGUGGUUGCCUUUGGGGAGUGAGGAUUGAUUAGAAGGGGUUUUGGGGGUAUGAAAAUGUUCUUGAUCUUCAUUCCAGUGGUAAUUUCAUGGGUGAAUACAUUUGCCAAAAUUCACUGAAUUGUACACUAAAGAUCUGCAUUUCUCUGUAUUGUCAAUUUAAUCUAAAAAUAAAAAUCUUACCACCCAGAUCUCCCUGGCAAGAAUU